UGACAGAUUUGAAGAUGCACAUCAAGCGCUUGAUGAAAUGCUUCAAAAAAUCGGUCUUUCUGUACUUCCAUUUCAGUAGGAGAGGAGUUCCUGGUGUAAGAAAAAUUGGUCUACUUUCUGACAGGGAGCUGCUGUAAGUCCAUUACUUUUAGUAAAUUACGCUUCUGGUCCCUGUGAUAUAUCCGUUUAUUUUUGUUCUAGGGUUUUAUGUCAUUUGCUUUGGAGAAACUGUAUAACUAUAACACAAACCAUAUAACCAUGAGGAAACUAGAUGUAAUACUUGGGAUAUAUAGUGUACAGAUCUUCCUCAACCAACAUGUUAUUUCAAAGCAUUGACUAAUCCGUUAAACUCUAAAAUGUUUAAUAGAUUAUCAUGUCACCAUUCUAAUUUCCUUAUAAUUUUACCAUUAAAUUCCUACUUUCUUGCAAGGCAAGUGAACACCUGUCUCUUUUCAAGUUCUUUUCGGGAUCUCCAGCUGGAUUUUAACCGGGUUAUGGUCGGAAAUUCCAAAUAUGCCCUUUUGAAAAGCACAAGUGUUACUAACCGCUUUUUAAGAUUAUUUACGUAAACCAAUAGCAACCGGAUUAACCACUUAUCGUGGGAAAUUAUAUGUUCCUCAAUGCUUAUAUUGUUGGCCUUUUUUUUGUUGAUGUUGUUGGUGAAGUUUAUGAUCCGGAAUUUAAUUCCUGGGUUGAUAUGCCGGUUGGAAUGGGAGAAGGGUGGCCCAUGAAACAAACCGGGACUGAAUUAAGUGUGAUUGUUGAUAAUGAUCUUUAUGCUUUGGAUCCAUCAAGUUCUUUAGAAAGUGCUAGAAUUAAAGUUUAUGAUCAUGUUGAAGAUUCUUGGAAAGUGGUUGAAGGUGACGUUCUGAUUCGUGUGGCUGAGAUUGAAAUAAUGAUAGCUGAACCUAAAAGGUACAGGCUCUGUUGUCUUAAUCCCAUUUUAAGUUUGUUGUCUAAGUAAAUGAUGUUUAUCCAUUUCUUUCAUUUUCUUCCAUGUCCAUUGUCAUACCGAUAGGCCCGUUCAGUUUCAGGUUUCAAACCUCUAUUCAAAUAACUUGCUUUUAACCUUCAAAUGUGUAUAAGGACCUGAUGAAUUUCUUUUGAAAUUCAAGGAAUGUGUUUGAUUGCAGGAAACAAAACAUAAAAGAGCAAGAAUUCUGUUUGGGGUUCAAUGGUAGUGAAAUCACAACUGUCGGUGGGGGGGGGGGGGGGGGGGGGGCUACUGGUGGAGAUCCAUCGACUAUGAUACAUUGCAUCUGGAAGAUGAAUACAAGUUGCUAGAAAAAGCCAAAGGAAAAAAACGUAUCGAAGGUGGUCCAGCAAGGAGAAUAUAAUCAGUCACCAAGUGAGGUGGGAUGAAGGCGAAGGUUGAUUAGCUUCUUCAUACUUGGGUGCCUUGCUAUGCGACGCCUUAUAAAAUGUAUCGGGUCAUCCGAAGAUCAUACACGGAUAUUAAGUCAUCUGACAUUCUGUUAGAUGGUAGCUUUGAUGCCCAGGUAUCUUACUAACCUUUCGAACCAUAGUUUGCAAAAUAUAGUUUUCCUUUUUUCUGCAUUUCUACAAUAACAAUGAUUUGUUUGCAACAAACAGAAAACCAUAUAGAGUAAUUCAAGUCUUUUUGAAAUGCAUAUUUAUAUUUGUGAGAUUGGCACUCACUUAGGUGGCAGAUUUUGGGCUUGCAAAGUUAGCAAUGUACACUAAUACGCAUGUCACAAUGUGUGUAAUGGGAACCUUUGGGUAAGUCUAUGACUAUAUAAUGUCUUCUGACUAUUCUUUUUUGGACAUUAUAAUGUCUUCUUUUCUUUUGGGAACCUUUGGGUAAGUCUACGACUAUGACUAUCUUUUUUUGGACAUUAUAAUGUCCUCUUUUGUUUUAUUUUGUUAUGUUUAAAUUUAUUUAUUUUUUGAAAAAUUCUAGAUAUAUGGCUAUACUUGAGGCGGGAAGUUGACUAAAAAGUCUGAUUUUUUUUUCUCAUUCGGGGUAGUGUAGCUACAAGUAGCCACCGGACGUAAACAUGUGAUUCUGGGGAUUUUGUCGUUUCCUUUGCCAUUUCGAACCCCGCAACGCGGGGUUUCUUCUCUAGUUAUAAAUAAUAAAAUCAAAUUACAUGGAUAUGUCAUAUUAUCCAUGCAAGUCUCUUUUGAAAUGCAAAUUGUCUAUCUUAUCACUGUAACAUCCCGAAAUAGCAAAGAGUAUAGUUGAAGGGCUAAAAGAGUAAAAUUGGAAGGGGAACUCGGCGAGUCCAUGGGUGGACUCGGCGAGUAGAGUCGCGAAUUGGUCGCGUGUUAAGUGACCGACUCGGCGAGUCAGUAAGGUGGACUCGGCGAGUAGGCGCUGAGUGGAGAAAACCCUAAUUCUCGGGGUUGAGCCCUAUAUAAAGAACAUAACAUUCAUUCCCCUAACCUCUUUACUCAUCCUCAAGUCCAGAAACCCUUAGCCUUCGUGUGUGAGUGAUCAUAUUGCAUUGGGAAGCUUGGAGAAGCAAUUGUUGAGGAAAUCUUGAAGGGUAGGAGGCUUGGAGCAAGGGGCUUUGCUUGGAUUCGAGUUCCAUUGCAGUUGGGGCGUUCUUUUGAGGUAAUAUCUCAUCCUUGGGCUGUUAUUCUUAUGGAUUCAUCAUUAUGGGGUUUGUGGGGAGCUUUUCUUUUGGUGUUUUGGAGUUUAGAGGUUAGAUCUGAGGUUGCUACCUCAGAUCUGGAAUGGAGAAGGGUUGAAAUGCCUGAAAGUCCCUGUGUUUGAGUGUGUAGUGAAGCUAUCAUGUCCCAAACCCUAGCCCUAAAGUGUUAAAGGCCUAGAUCUCUUUGGAUUCACGUAAAGUUUACCACUUUACGUGAUGGAUGGGUUGUAGGAGGCUAGAUCUAUGUUUUGGAUCAAUUGCAUGGCCUGGAGUGCUUCUGUAUGGAUUCAGACCGGUGGUACUCGGCGAGUCACAUGGGUGGACUCGACGAGUUGCUUGAAGAUGAGCUGGAACUCGACGAGUUGGAAGAACAACUCGGCGAGUAGGUUGAAGAUAACCUUAGACUCGACGAGUCUGUUCUUGGACUCGGCGAGUCUUGUCAAAGAGUCCCAAUAUUUUCUGGUCGAGUCGAGAAUCGGUGAGUCAAGGGAUGACUCGGUGAGUUGUGUGCAGGUGGAAUCAGAGUUGUUGGACUCGGCGAGUCUUGGGGUGACUCGGCGAUUUAGGUCGCGGAUUGAGGGAAGUCCUGAGCUUGGGGACUCGGCGAGUCAUCGGGUUGACUCGGCGAGUAGAGUCAAUCAGGGGUUGACUUUGACCUUGUCCAAGGGUUGACCAAUUGUCUUUCGGGGGUAUUUUGGUAAUUAAGGGUAUUUAUUGAGUUGAGUGUUUUGGUGUUCAGUGGAGGAGUUCGUGUCGGAGUUUGGAGCAGCGGGAUCUUAUCCUUUUCAGCUGGCAGUUUCGAGGUGAGUUAUCCUCACUAUAUCAACAGGGUCUAAGGCACCAAGGCCGGCCCUUAUCGGAUUGAGAUCUGGGUAGUUGUUGUUAUGUUACUGCUUUGAUAUGUUUGCAUCCUGAGAGCUAGGAUGGUAUAUGUUAGAGACCUGAUUAAGAUCGGUAUCUUGAGAGAUAGGGAGAUGCUAUGCUGGUGACCUGUUAGGUCGGUAUCCUGGUUAGGCCCCAAGAGGGCGGACCAGACGUGCCGAGGCUCGGAGAGUGGACCAGGCCGACUGAAGGCCCGGUGCGGACGAACCAGUCAUACUGUAGACUCAGAGAGUGGACCAGGUGGAUUAAAGGCCCGGUGCGGGCGGACCAAUCACACUGCAGACUCGAUGUAUGUGGUUAGAUUUGGAGAGUGGACCAGGUGGAUUGAAGGCCCGGUGCGGGCGGACCAAUCACACUGUAGACUCGAGGUUUAUGGCUAGACUCAGAGGGUGGACCAGGUGGACUGUAGGCCGGUGCGGCAGACCAAUCACACAGUAGACCCGAAGUGCAUGGCUGUUCUGUGAUCAGAUAUGUUGUGGCAUGUUAUGCAUGUAUGGUAUAAGUGGUUGGUAUUUUGGGGAUAUCUCACUAAGCUUUCGGGCUUACAGUUGUGGUUUUAUGUUUUUCAGGUUCUUCAAGAGACCGUGGCAAGGCGAAGGCGUGAUCGUAUUGCUCCUCAUGAUUUUGUAGUAAUGUGAUUCUAGGAAUACGCUAAAUGUUUUGUAUUGAAAACCUUUUUGUAAUGAUUUAAUGGAAUCGAGUUGUUUUUGAAAAAUUUAAAA